rnacentral:misc_RNA from 1 species
GUGCAUCGAACUGCUUCCCUCACUUUCGAUCAGUUGUUGCUCCACGAGAUAAACGUUGGACGCAAGACAUGGGUUCCUGUGUUGCAUACCUAUUGCGACGGAAAUGUGUGCCUUCGAUCGUCCCUUCCAUCACGGCGUCCUCACGGAUGCUCGGUUGGACCGGAUAGUGGGGCUCGUGUUCCACGGACGUCGUCUCAUUCGACCGUUCGGAUGGACCACGGGUGCUCACUCGUUCUCUCGGAUGCGGAAAUCUCUUAAUGGGCGUGGGGUCAUUGGCCCUUGGUCCCUAAUCGUUAAGCGUUUAUCGCUUCACCGGAAUGACGAUCUCGCCUUGUCCUUGACCACGCGAAGCCCUCGGGCAUCGCGACGGAUCAUGCUCGGCGGACGUCGUGAAGGAAUGC